rnacentral:rRNA from 1 species
GACGAACGCUGGCGGCGUGCUUAACACAUGCAAGUCGAACGGAAAGGCCCUGCUUUUGUGGGGUGCUCGAGUGGCGAACGGGUGAGUAACACGUGAGUAACCUGCCCUUGACUUUGGGAUAACUUCAGGAAACUGGGGCUAAUACCGGAUAGGAGCUCCUGCUGCAUGGUGGGGGUUGGAAAGUGUCGGCGGUUGGGGAUGGACUCGCGGCUUAUCAGCUUGUUGGUGGGGUAGUGGCUUACCAAGGCUUUGACGGGUAGCCGGCCUGAGAGGGUGACCGGCCACAUUGGGACUGAGAUACGGCCCAGACUCCUACGGGAGGCAGCAGUGGGGAAUAUUGCACAAUGGGCGGAAGCCUGAUGCAGCAACGCCGCGUGCGGGAUGACGGCCUUCGGGUUGUAAACCGCUUUCGCCUGUGACGAAGCGUGAGUGACGGUAAUGGGUAAAGAAGCACCGGCUAACUACGUG